rnacentral:rRNA from 1 species
UCGGGAAUAUUGCGCAAUGGAGGAAACUCUGACGCAGUGACGCCGCGUAUAGGAAGAAGGUUUUCGGAUUGUAAACUAUUGUCGUUAGGGAAGAAAAAAGACAGUACCUAAGGAGGAAGCUCCGGCUAACUACGUGCCAGCAGCCGCGGUAAUACGUAGGGAGCAAGCGUUAUCCGGAAUUAUUGGGUGUAAAGGGUGCGUAGACGGGAAUCUAAGUUAGUUGUGAAAUCCCUCGGCUUAACUGAGGAACUGCAACUAAAACUGGAUUUCUUGAGUGCAGGAGAGGAAAGUGGAAUUCCUAGU